rnacentral:rRNA from 1 species
UACGGAGGGGGCUAGCGUUGUUCGGAAUUACUGGGCGUAAAGCGCACGUAGGCGGCUUUGUAAGUUAGAGGUGAAAGCCCGGAGCUCAACUCCGGAAUUGCCUUUAAGACUGCAUCGCUUGAAUCAUGGAGAGGUGAGUGGAAUUCCGAGUGUAGAGGUGAAAUUCGUAGAUAUUCGCAAGAACACCAGUGGCGAAGGCGGCUCACUGGCCCGUAACUGACGCUGAGGCACGAAAGCGUGGGGAGCAAACAGG